CAGUCGCCGCGGGAAUACGAAGGGGGCUAGCGUUGCUCGGAAUCACUGGGCGUAAAGGGCGCGUAGGCGGACUUUUAAGUCGGAGGUGAAAGCCCAGGGCUCAACCCUGGAAUUGCCUUCGAUACUGGGAGUCUUGAGUUCGGAAGAGGUUGGUGGAACUGCGAGUGUAGAGGUGAAAUUCGUAGAUAUUCGCAAGAACACCGGUGGCGAAGGCGGCCAACUGGUCCGAAACUGACGCUGAGGCGCGAAAGCGUGGGGAGCAAACAGGAUUAGAUACCCCCGUAGUCCCUGUCUCUUAUAC
rnacentral:rRNA from 1 species